ACCCGAUCUCGACUCCUAUUUUCCAGGCAGGCUUUCCGGCGCCCCUCCCCCACACUCCCCGGGGCCCAUCCCUUCCUCCCAGGUGGCUCCUUUGCCAACCCCGCUCUGCUUCCCAGAUCUCAGGGGCUGAGGACUUGCCGGUUUGCCAAGCCGCUGACAAAAGGAGGUGACUGACAAGGUAGCAUCAGCUGCUGUGAGGUCACGAAUAGCAAGGCCACUCUGUGUCUGGAAGAUAGUAUUGCGCCUACCCUAGAAACUCAAAGGCUCUGUUGCAAAUAAGGAAGCGGGCAGCUGCCCUUCAAUGAGGCCCUGCCAAGAAGUUUAGGGAGCAUCUCAGCAGAGCCACGGUCCCUGCGGCUCAGCACAACGGGGAGCUGACUGGAGGGAGAUGUGGAGGGUCUGGAUUACAGCUCACGCAACAGUAUGGACCGAGGCCCAGCACCAGCAUGCCAAGUCCACAGAGCAGAUUUGAGCAGCUCAGGUACAAGGACAGCUGGUAACUCCAAGUAUCAGAGGCAGAGAGAGGGGACUGGGGUUGCGGUCAACAGAGAACAGCUUGGCAGAGUUUGGUGUUACCCACGUGACCCUGAGAAUCACACUCGGUUUUUAGCCACGACCAAUAUGACCAGACUUGGGCUCUUCAACAAGAGCUGGAUGCCCAUGCCCAACAGCCUGGAAGGAUCCCUUGCCAUUUUGGGGUCUCACUUGGCACAGGGCAACU